rnacentral:rRNA from 1 species
UACGUAGGGUGCGAGCGUUAAUCGGAAUUACUGGGCGUAAAGGGUGCGUAGGCGGUUGUUUAAGUCUGUCGUGAAAUCCCCGGGCUCAACCUGGGAAUGGCGAUGGAUACUGGGCAGCUAGAGUGUGGCAGAGGAUGGUGGAAUUCCCGGUGUAGCGGUGAAAUGCGUAGAGAUCGGGAGGAACAUCAGUGGCGAAGGCGGCCAUCUGGGACAACACUGACGCUGAAGCACGAAAGCGUGGGGAGCAAACAGG